CACAAGCAGUGGAGUAUGUGUUUAAUUCGAAGCAACGCGAAGAACCUUACCAGGUCUUUGACAUCCGAUGCUAUUUCUAGAGAUAGAAGUUACUGGUACAUCGGUGACAGGUGGUGCAUGGUUGUCGUCAGCUCGUGUCGUGAGAUGUUGGGUUAAGUCCCGCAACGAGCGCAACCCCUAUUGUUAGUUGCCAUCAUUCAGUUGGGCACUCUAGCGAGACUGCCGGUAAUAAACCGGAGGAAGGUGGGGAUGACGUCAAAUCAUCAUGCCCCUUAUGACCUGGGCUACACACGUGCUACAAUGGUUGGUACAACGAGUUGCGAGUCGGUGACGGCGAGCUAAUCUCUUAAAGCCAAUCUCAGUUCGGAUUGUAGGCUGCAACUCGCCUACAUGAAGUCGGAAUCGCUAGUAAUCGCGGAUCAGCACGCCGCGGUGAAUACGUUCCCGGGCCUU
rnacentral:rRNA from 1 species